AUGUCUAGUUCGAACUUAUUGUUCUGUUCGUGGAAUGUAAGAGGCCUAGGUGAUGAAGAAAAAUGUACCGAAGUGUUGUCUGAACUAUUGUCUCUCAAACCAAACCUCCUUCUCCUUCAAGAAACUAAAUUGGCAGCUCCCUCUCCGCAAAAAAUCAGAUCCUUUCUCCCCUCUUCCCUCGACUCUGUUACCUUCCUCCCCGCUCGGGGCACGGCGGGGGGGUUGCUAACGGUGGCCUCCACCUCCUCCCUCUCGGUCCAAUCAAGCAUCAACCACACCUAAUGUAUCUCUGUUACGCUUCAAUCUAUCGCGUGUCCAACUCCGGUCGUAGUCACAAACGUUUACGCUCCCACUGCUCGAGCCCUCAAAAGUGACUUCCUAGAUGAACUUAAAAGUAUUGCCCCUGAUAGCACCCCUUGGUUAGUCCUGGGCGAUUUCAAUCUCAUUCGCUUCCCUCAUGAGAAAAACAAGUCCAAUUUUCAUCAGCUCGAGGCCAAUCUCUUCAAUAAUACGUUGGACCAACUCGCGUUAUUAGAAUUACCCCUUCUCGACAGAAAAUUCACUUGGUCAAAUAAUCAAGGCUCGCCUGUCCUCGAACGCCUUGAUCGAGCCUUCUUCAACCUAGCCUGGAACAAUUCCUUCCCAAACUCCUCUCUUACCUCCCUGCCACGCUUCACUUCUGACCAU
rnacentral:rRNA from 1 species